GCGGGUGUAGUUCAAUGGUAGAACUUCAGCUUCCCAAGCUGAUAACGUGGGUUCGAUUCCCAUCACCCGCUCCA
rnacentral:tRNA from 4 species